rnacentral:rRNA from 1 species
AUCCUCUGCUUGCAGGGGAGAGUAAAGUGGCGCACGGGUGAGUAUCGCGUGGGUAAUCUACCCUUGAAUUCAGGAUAACACUUCGAAAGGGGUGCUAAUACUGGAUAAAAUCCUGAUGGUUUAGAUCAUAAGGAUCAAAGAUAGCCUCUACAUGUAAGCUAUAGUUCAGGGAUGAGCCCGCGUACCAUUAGCUAGUUGGUGGGGUAAGAGCCUACCAAGGCAACGAUGGUUAGCUGGUCUGAGAGGAUGAUCAGCCACACUGGAACUGAAACACGGUCCAGACUCCUACGGGAGGCAGCAGUGAGGAAUUUUGCGCAAUGGGGGAAACCCUGACGCAGCAACGCCGCGUGAGUGAAGAAGGCUUUCGGGUCGUAAAGCUCUGUCAAGAGGGAAGAAAGUGGGAGAUGGUAAUACUGUUUUCUAUUGACGGUACCUCUGAAGGAAGCACCGGCUAACUCCGUGCCAGCAGCCGCGGUAAUACGGGGGGUGCAAGCGUUAUUCGGAUUUAUUGGGCGUAAAGAGCGCGUAGGCGGUUUAUCAAGUCAGAUGUGAAAGCCCUGGGCUCAACCUGGGAAGUGCAUUUGAAACUAGUGGACUUGAGUAUGGGAGAGGGAAGUGGAAUUCCUGGUGUAGAGGUGAAAUUCGUAGAUAUCAGGAGGAACACCGGUGGCGAAGGCGACUUCCUGGACCAAUACUGACGCUGAGGCGCGAAGGCGUGGGGAGCAAACAGGAUUAGAUACCCUGGUAGUCCACGCAGUAAACGGUGAUCACUAGUGUAGCGGGUAUUGACCCCUGCUGUGCCGCAGUUAACGCAUUAAGUGAUCCGCCUGGGGAGUACGAUCGCA